rnacentral:tRNA from 1 species
GCCGGGAUGGCCCAAUGGUAAGGCGCAGCCCUGGAAAGGCUGUUUCCGUAAGGAUAUCUGGGUUCGAAUCCCAGUCCCGGCG